AUACGGAGGGUGCGAGCGUUGUUCGGAAUUACUGGGCGUAAAGCGCGCGCAGGCGGACAUGCAAGUCGGGGGUGAAAUCCUAGGGCUUAACCCUGGGACUGCUUCCGAUACUGCGUGUCUAGGGACCGGUAGAGGUCGGUGGAAUUCCCGGUGUAGCGGUGGAAUGCGUAGAUAUCGGGAAGAACACCUGUGGCGAAGGCGGCCGACUGGGCCGGAUCCGACGCUGAGGCGCGAAAGCGUGGGGAGCAAACAGGAUUAGAUACCCUGGUAGUCCACGCCGUAAACGAUGGGUGCUAGAUGCCGGGGGGAGCGACCCCUUCGGUGUCGUAGCUAACGCGUUAAGCACCCCGCCUGGGGAGUACGGCCGCAAGGCUGAA
rnacentral:rRNA from 1 species